CCCUGGGUUAGUCGGGACCUAAGCUGAGGCCGAAAGGCGUAGGUGAUGGACAACAGGUUGAUAUUCCUGUACUACCGAUAACCGUUUGAGAGAAGGGAUGACACAGUAGGAUAAGCUAAGCACACUGCUGGUUAUGUGUGCCCAAGCAUUGAGGCAGUCAAAGUAGGCAAAUCCGCUUUGAUAAUGCUGGGAUGUGAUGGGGAGCGAAAUUUAGUAGC
rnacentral:rRNA from 1 species